GUCUUCCUCAGAACCGGCUGCCCAGCUGCGAGUUAACGCUGCUCACAUGAUCCGUAGGCUGAGGAGCAGUCACCUUCCCCAAACAUUAGUUAUGGGGGAUGUGAGGGCUUCAUAAAACAAACUGAACACAUUGGCUAAGAGGGCUAAUUCCCCUUACCACGUGCUUCAAACUGGCUCCUGAUGUGUCAGAGCAGGAACCUGAACAUUAUCAAGAGAUGGAUGCACACCAGAGAGAAGUCGACCGGCAACAAUUUCACUGAGACGGAGAAAAGAAAGAGGAAGGUUAGAAGUGCGCCUGGGCAGCGGAGAGAGCUCUCAGGACCCAGGGGGAGCACGACUCAGCUGACACAAAGGUGGAGACCAGCCAGCUCUCAGGGGCCCCUGUGUAGUGUGGGCUCUAAGGCCCACGGGUUCCCCCAUGUUGGGUAAGGACUUUGGUAGCUGGGGCCUCUUUCCAGCUGUACAUGAACCAGCAGCCACAGAUUCCUGGGCUCCUUAACAUCUGUGUCUGCUCCUGUAAAAUAGGACUGCAUGGGCCUUCCUCAGAAUGCACACUGCUGGAAACCCAGCACUCAGAAGAUGAACACAGGAGGACUGCCACACGUUUGAGGCAGGCCUGGGGUGCAGAGAGGAUGUUGUCUCAAGAAACAAAACAAGGGGCUGGAGAGGUGGCUCAGCUGCUCUUGCAGAGGGCCUGAGUUUGAAUCCCAGCAUCCAUGUGGCUGCUUACAGCCAUGUGUCACUCCGGUUCUGGAGUCUCCAUUGCCCUCUUCUGGCCUCCAUAGGUACUGUAUGCAUGUGGUGCAGACACACACAUAGGCAAGUCACCCAUACACAUAAAAAAAACAAAACAAAACAAACCCACAAACAAGAUAAAAACCAAAUGGCCUUUGUUGCUUAACUCAGAGAGUUAGGCUCAAACAAGACAACAUAGGGAAAAGUCUUUUAUGAACUACAAACGACAGUAUGUCAAGUAAAAAUAAAUGCUAUCACAGGAGGGAACUCUAGGGACCCCAAGCCUGUCUUAAAUUAUCUUAAGCAGAGCGUAGCACCCAACACUAUGUGUCAUCAUCCCCUGAGCGCUUACAGCACCUGUACAAUUUGCUGGCACUCACCUCUGUUAGCCUCUAGCUGACCCAGAAACUAUUCCCAGGGUGGAUAACGGACCCUUGGGCAUCAGUGUGGCAAACAGACUCACACACGCCCAGACAUCCAUUCCUCACAACACCGAAGACAAUGGUUGGGCUCUCCCCGUAUUUCAGCUACUCCUAAUUGUGGGAAAUGUGACCCUGACUCAAGGCUGGCAACAGUGUUAACCUCGAGCACGCUUCGGAAAGAAAACGAACUGUCAUUUUAUACCUAAAUUUGUACCCAAAACGAUCUGGGUCUGGUGAUUCGGGUCUAUACUUUCCAGCUUCGGGGGAGGUAAGGCAAGAUCAUAGGUUUGAAGCCAUCCUGAACUAGAGUGAGUUCGAGGUGAGCCUAGACAACUUAAGGAGACCCUGCUUCAAAGUCGUUUUCAAAAGCCAGCUAGCGAGUGUAGCUCAGUGGAAACAUGCUUAUCUAACGUAUGUGAGACGGACCCUAACUAUAACCCCUUAUACCAGAGGGGGAGAUUUUCAUGAAAAUAAAGAAAAUAAAGCCGCGUUUC
ensembl:lincRNA Gm26724 predicted gene, 26724